rnacentral:rRNA from 1 species
UACGUAGGCAGCAAGCGUUGUUCGGAGUUACUGGGCGUAAAGGGUGCGUAGGCGGUCGGGUAAGUCUGAUGUGAAAUCUCACAGCUUAACUGUGAAACUGCAUUGGAUACUAUCCGGCUCGAGGAAUGGAGGGAGACUGGAAUACUUGGUGUAGCAGUGAAAUGCGUAGAUAUCAAGUGGAACACCAGUGGCGAAGGCGAGUCUCUGGACAUUUCCUGACGCUGAGGCACGAAAGCCAGGGAGCAAACGGG